rnacentral:misc_RNA from 1 species
AUUGUUUUUAAGAGAUUAUUAAUUAUAUAAUAAAUAAUUAAUAUUUAUUUAAUGGUAUAUUGGUUAAACCCCGGUUCGAUCCCAGUUGAACUUUAAACCCUUAACUUUCUACCUUCACCGGUUCAAUAACUAAGCCGAUUUUCAAAACCUUGGUUUAAACAUAUACAACAAAAAACAUUGAUUUGUUUAUAACUAGAUGAAGCCCUACAAAGCCAUGCUACCACAAAAAAAUUCAAAAUAACAUUAAGUUGUAGAGAUUUAAAAAAACUCAAGGGACCUGGACUUCCAAAAAGAAAGUAAACAUUCUUAGUUCAUUUGAUAUGAUUGGAACUAUAAUUUGCUCUUCAAUACAGUUAUUGAUAUAAACUAUUAAAAAGACCAUAAAUGGAUUAUGCAUGGUGGCAAGUGAAGCUCUAAAUAGUAUCUCUUAUUUCCAUCAUACUAUAUAGAUAAGACACAUAAUGAUUGUCAUUAAAAAAGCAUGGAAACAACAAAAGUCAGAAUUAAUAGGCACAAACCUUCUUGUUGAGAAAGUUAUCA